rnacentral:rRNA from 1 species
AUACGAACGAGACUCUAUCCUACUAAGCGGCGAGGCUAUUAGACGGCUGGAUCCUUGAAACACGUGUGUACAAAUAGACAGUGAAGGUCAACGCGGAGGAGCAAUCCAACGCUGCUUCACUUCGAGCACACAAGUCCGCCGUGGCUGCGCGUGGGUUGGUGUGCCUGUUGUCGAGGACGGAGUUCCUCUGCUUUCGCUUCGCGUUGGUACGUUCUCCUAUCCUUGGCUUCGAGGCGCGCUUUCUUGCGCGUAGACAAACGUUGUUUCUUCUUAGAGGUAUUGACGACUCUACAUAAGUCGUACGAGACAGAGAGCAAUAACAGGUCUGUGAUGCCCUUAGAUGCCCUGGGCCGCACGCGAGCUACAAUGCCGGGUACAGCGGGUGUAAUGUCCUUCUCCGAGAGGAGCGGGUAACCCUCUGAAAGCCCUUCUGAUGUACGGCGCACUUCGCGUGCGUACGCGCAUCGCGGCUCGAUUGGGCCUGGGGCUUGCAAUUAUCUCCCACAAACGAGGAAUGCCUUGUAUUGGCUAGUCACUGAGCUUGCAGCGACUCAGUCCCUGCCCUUUGUACACACCGCCCGUCGCUACUACCGAUUGAGUGUACCAGUGAGAUUCUUGGACUGGCGAACCUUCUCUCUUGGCUUACUCUUGAGAGAGGGCGACCGACGGGAAGAGACCCGAACUGGUGCACUUAGAGGAAGUAAAA